GAUUGGAUUGCACGUCUAAGCAGUAAGGCUGAGUAUUAGGCAAAUCCGGUACUCGUUAAGGCUGAGCUGUGAUGGGGAGAAGACAUUGUGUCUUCGAGUCGUUGAUUUCACACUGCCGAGAAAAGCCUCUAGAUAGAAAAUAGGUGCCCGUACCGCAAACCGACACAGGUAGUCAAGAUGAGAAUUCUAAGGUGAGCGAGCGAACUCUCGUUAAGGAACUCGGCAAAAUGACCCCGUAACUUCGGGAGAAGGGGUGCUCUUUAGGGUUAACGCCCAGAAGAGCCGCAGUGAAUAGGCCCAAGCGACUGUUUAUCAAAAACACAGGUCUCUGCUAAACCGUAAGGUGAUGUAUAGGGGCUGACGCCUGCCCGGUGCUGGAAGGUUAAGAGGAGUGGUUAGCUUCUGCGAAGCUACGAAUCGAAGCCCCAGUAAACGGCGGCCGUAACUAUAACGGUCCUAAGGUAGCGAAAUUCCUUGUCGGGUAAGUUCCGACCCGCACGAAAGGCGUAACGAUUUGGGCACUGUCUCAACGAGAGACUCGGUGAAAUCAUAGUACCUGUGAAGAUGCAGGUUACCCGCGACAGGACGGAAAGACCCCGUGGAGCUUUACUGUAGCCUGAUAUUGAAAUUCGGCACAGCUUGUACAGGAUAGGUAGGAGCCUUUGAAACGUGAGCGCUAGCUUACGUGGAGGCGCUGGUGGGAUACUACCCUAGCUGUGUUGGCUUUCUAACCCGCACCACUUAUCGUGGUGGGAGACAGUGUCAGGCGGGCAGUUUGACUGGGGCGGUCGCCUCCUAAAAGGUAACGGAGGCGCUCAAAGGUUCCCUCAGAAUGGUUGGAAAUCAUUCAUAGAGUGUAAAGGCAUAAGGGAGCUUGACUGCGAGACCUACAAGUCGAGCAGGGUCGAAAGACGGACUUAGUGAUCCGGUGGUUCCGCAUGGAAGGGCCAUCGCUCAACGGAUAAAAGCUACCCCGGGGAUAACAGGCUUAUCUCCCCCAAGAGUUCACAUCGACGGGGAGGUUUGGCACCUCGAUGUCGGCUCAUCGCAUCCUGGGGCUGUAGUCGGUCCCAAGGGUUGGGCUGUUCGCCCAUUAAAGCGGUACGCGAGCUGGGUUCAGAACGUCGUGAGACAGUUCGGUCCCUAUCCGUCGUGGGCGUAGGAAAUUUGAGAGGAGCUGUCCUUAGUACGAGAGGACCGGGAUGGACAUACCUCUGGUGUACCAGUUGUCGUGCCAACGGCAUAGCUGGGUAGCUAUGUGUGGACGGGAUAAGUGCUGAAAGCAUCUAAGCAUGAAGCCCCCCUCAAGAUGAGAUUUCCCAACUUCGGUUAUAAGAUCCCUCAAAGAUGAUGAGGUUAAUAGGUUCGAGGUGGAAGCAUGGUGACAUGUGGAGCUGACGAAUACUAAUCGAUCGAAGACUUAAUCAA
rnacentral:rRNA from 1 species